AACGAACGCUGGCGGCAUGCCUAACACAUGCAAGUCGAACGAAGCCUUCGGGCUUAGUGGCGCACGGGUGCGUAACGCGUGGGAAUCUGCCUCUUGCUUCGGAAUAACAGUUAGAAAUGACUGCUAAUACCGGAUGAUGUCUUCGGACCAAAGAUUUAUCGGCAAGAGAUGAGCCCGCGGAGGAUUAGGUAGUUGGUGGGGUAAAGGCCUACCAAGCCGACGAUCCUUAGCUGGUCUGGGAGGAUGAUCAGCCACACUGGGACUGAGACACGGCCCAGACUCCUACGGGAGGCAGCAGUGGGGAAUAUUGGACAAUGGGGGCAACCCUGAUCCAGCAAUGCCGCGUGAGUGAUGAAGGCCUUAGGGUUGUAAAGCUCUUUUACCAGGGAUGAUAAUGACAGUACCUGGAGAAUAAGCUCCGGCUAACUCCGUGCCAGCAGCCGCGGUAAUAC
rnacentral:rRNA from 1 species